rnacentral:rRNA from 1 species
UUGAUCCUGGCUCAGAAUCAACGCUGGCGGCGUGCCUAACACAUGCAAGUCGAACGCGAAAGUGGAGCAAUCCAUGGGUAGAGUGGCAAACGGGUGAGUUACGCGUGGGUGACCUGCCUUCGAGUGGGGGAUAACGUUCCGAAAGGGACUCUAAUACCGCAUGACAUCCGGCCUUUGAAGAGGCGGAGAUCAAAGCUGGUGAUCGCAAGACCUAGCGCUCGAUGAGGGGCCCGCGUCUGAUUAGCUAGUUGGUGGGGUAACGGCUCACCAAGGCAACGAUCAGUAUCCGGCCUGAGAGGUCGGACGGACACACUGGGACUGAGACACGGCCCAGACUCCUACGGGAGGCUGCAGUGGGGAAUUGUUCGCAAUGGGCGCAAGCCUGACGACGCAACGCCGUGUGGAGGAUGAAGACCUUCGGGUCGUAAACUCCUUUCGAUCGAGACGAAUAGCCUUCGGGUGAACAAUCCGGAGGUCUGACGGUACCGAGAGAAGAAGCUCCGGCUAACUCCGUGCCAGCAGCCGCGGUAAUAAGGU